GCCUCGGUAGCGCAGUAGGCAGCGCGUAAGUCUCAUAAUCUUGAGGUCGUGAGUUCGAUCCUCACCCGGGGCA
rnacentral:tRNA from 1 species